rnacentral:lncRNA from 1 species
AUAAUAGUUAAUAAUUUUUUCAUCAACAAUAACUUGUUCCCCGUAUAUUUCGGUUAAUUUAAGUUUUUCAUCAGCAAAUACUUUGUUCCCCGUAUAAUAAUAGUUAAUUUAAAUUUUUCAUCACCAACAAUUUGUUGCCCGUAUAAAUUAGUGUAGUAUACUUUUUAGAAACACACGAGAUCUAUAAAUACACGGCUAAGCAAUUUGUUCCCCGUAUAAAAAUACAAUCAAACUUGUACUUUCAGACCCAAAAUACAUGCCUUAGUUUGGGCUUAAUGCCCAGCCCAGCCCAUAAAAUAAAUAAAAAACCUAACCACUCCUUAGAUGUAACUCAGUUUUCUGACUUUCUCUAACCCUAGCCGCCGCUCAAACAUCUCUCUCUAUCUCUCGCAUUUUUCUUCUUCCUGAGUCCUAAUGAACCACCACCACCACCUUUCCUCUGCGUUUUUUUCCCUCUAUGUUUCUUUUUGUUUUUAAUUUAUUUGACAAAAUCAAUCUCCUCCAUUUGU